rnacentral:rRNA from 1 species
GACGAACGCUGGCGGCGUGCCUAAUACAUGCAAGUAGAACGCUGAAGGAGGAGCUUGCUCUUCUGGAUGAGUUGCGAACGGGUGAGUAACGCGUAGGUAACCUGCCUGGUAGCGGGGGAUAACUAUUGGAAACGAUAGCUAGUACCGCAUAAGAGUAGAUGUUGCAUGACAUUUACUUAAAAGGUGCAAUUGCAUCACUACCAGAUGGACCUGCGUUGUAUUAGCUAGUUGGUGGGGUAACGGCUUACCAAGGCGACGAUACAUAGCCGACCUGAGAGGGUGAUGGGCCACACUGGGACUGAGACACGGCCCAGACUCCUACGGGAGGCAGCAGUAGGGAAUCUUCGGACAUGGACGGAAGGCUGACCGAGCAACGCCGCGUGAGUGAAGAAGGUUUUCGGAUCGUAAAGAUCGGUUGUAAGAGAAGAACGAGUGUGAGAGUUGAAAGUUCACACUGUGACGGUAUCUUACCAGAAAGGGACGGCUAACUUCGUG